AUUGGACGCUGGCGGCAGGCCUAACACAUGCAAGUCGAACGGUAACAGGAAGCAGCUUGCUGCUUUGCUGACGAGUGGCGGACGGGUGAGUAAUGUCUGGGAAACUGCCUGAUGGAGGGGGAUAACUACUGGAAACGGUAGCUAAUACCGCAUAACGUCGCAAGACCAAAGAGGGGGACCUUCGGGCCUCUUGCCAUCGGAUGUGCCCAGAUGGGAUUAGCUAGUAGGUGGGGUAAAGGCUCACCUAGGCGACGAUCCCUAGCUGGUCUGAGAGGAUGACCAGCCACACUGGAACUGAGACACGGUCCAGACUCCUACGGGAGGCAGCAGUGGGGAAUAUUGCACAAUGGGCGCAAGCCUGAUGCAGCCAUGCCGCGUGUAUGAAGAAGGCCUUCGGGUUGUAAAGUACUUUCAGCGGGGAGGAAGGGAGUAAAGUUAAUACCUUUGCUCAUUGACGUUACCCGCAGAAGAAGCACCGGCUAACUCCGUG
rnacentral:rRNA from 1 species